rnacentral:rRNA from 1 species
AUAUUUAAUGGCCGCGGUAUUUUGACCGUGCAAAGGUAGCAUAAUCAUUAGUCUAUUAAUUGUGGACUUGUAUGAAUGGUUGGACGAAAUAUUGACUGUCUCAUUUUUAAUUUAUAUAACUUAAAUUUUGAGUUAAAAUGCUUAAAUUUUUUUAUAGGACGAGAAGACCCUAUAGAUUUUUAUUAUUUAUUUAAUUAUUUUAUUUAGUUUAUUUAUUUUUAAUUAUUUAUAUUUUUUUGUUGGGGUGACAUGGAGAUUUUAUUAACUCUUUAUUUUCUUUUACAUUUAUUUUUGUUUAUUUGACCUUUUAUUAUUGUUAUAAGAUAUAAAUACCUUAGGGAUAACAGCGUAAUUUUAUUUGAGAGUUCAUAUCGACAAUAGAGAUUGCGACCUCGAUGUUGGAUUAAGAUUAUAAUUUGGUGUAGAUGCUUUAUUAUUAAGUCUGUUCGACUUUUAAAUUCUUACAUGAUCUGAGU